rnacentral:rRNA from 1 species
CCUACGGGAGGCUGCAGUCGAGAAUCAUUCACAAUGGGGGAAACCCUGAUGGUGCGACGCCGCGUGGGGGAAUGAAGGUCUUCGGAUUGUAAACCCCUGUCAUGUGGGGGCAAAUUAAAAAGAUAGUACCACAACGGGAAGAGACGGCUAACUAUGUGCCAGCAGCCGCGGUACUACAGGGGUCUCAAGCGUAGUGCGGAAACACUUGUCGUAAGGCGUGCGAAGGCUGUUUCGUAAGUCGUGUGUGAAAGGCCCGGGCUCAACCGGCGGACGGCACAUGAUACUGCGAGACUAGAGUAAUGGAGGGGGAACCGGAAUGCUCGGUGUAGCAGUGAAAUGCGUAGAUAUC